rnacentral:lncRNA from 1 species
UGGCUUCAAAUUAACCCCGAGUUGCAUAUUCUUUCUAGGGCAACAACAUUGUAGGGAACGAUUGUCUUUCUAGUAAGCUAUUCUGAAGCCCAUCUACGUCUUGGAGCAGCAACCAGUGUGUUUGAGGUAAUUUGUACAGAAAACACCAGGUAUAUGGUUAGGAAUCAGGUCGGAGUCUAAUUACAGUAUCUCCCCAAGGCCCCAAUCCUUUUCUUUUCCAAUCUAUAAUAUUCUACUGUUAAGGUUUUUACAAUGCAAAAAUCCAACAUAUGUUCUUUUAGGCUAAUUACUAAAUAAAUCUAACGAUAGUCCAUGUGGCGGCGGAGGUGUAGCGAUGGUAGUUUGAAGCAGAUUAGGCGGCCGCAAGCGUCUUUGGCGCCAAGGCUGUUGAGUGAAGGAACUGGUCGUGUGGCGAUUCGUUUUCUAUUCUCCAUCCUUUAAGGUCAUAACAGAAGAAAGAACUAUGUGUUGGAACCGCAGCGCUCUAGCUACCUCUCCUCUCACUCAAACGGAGGUGGAAGAAGAAGAACAGUGCACACAAGCCGGCCGGCGCACGAACGCCCCAAUCCUUUUCUUCCUUACAAUGGCUACAUGGCUACACCCGAUUCACGCAACCAGCACAAAGGCAGGGGAUUUAUAUCCGGUCUAGCACAGACGCACGCACAGCACUAACCCCGGCCACCACGCACGCACGCCUACCGGCCACCUACCUGCUGACUCCUACAUGCAUGCACGAUCUGUCCGGCCGCGCGCAUAGCGCGCCACACUACAAGCACUACACCACCAGCUCAAACAGAUUGACUGGCUCCCCGCUACUCCCGCUCAGCUGGACGCGGCCACACACCGGCCUCCGGCUUGAGCCUAGACACACAUAUGCGGCACACAUACGUGCACCUAUGCGCCAUCCACACACACAUGGCUUAUUGCCAACACUAUGCAAUUGACUUGAUCACUAUUGUUUUAUCUAGAAAAAAAAUAUGUUUUGUACGCGUGUAUUGAUGAGUACUCCUCUUGACUCGAUUGUGUUGCACGGAGUGAAAGGAAAGCAUCCAGUUGGGGUGGUCUGCAGCUCUGAUCACCUCCAGCAGCACCACAUAAUCAAAGUUCCAAACAGUAGUGCUGCACUUCUGCCUCCAGCCAGCAUUUCACUUUCAUGUUUAUAGGUGGCUUAACAUGAUCAUUUGAUGUGUAUCUUAUGUAGAAGAUUUGAAUGAUGUACGUGUUUAUUUCAGAAAAAAUUUCUUAAUGACGCCUUGCAUAUAUACAAGACAGAUAUUCAUGUACAUUAGCUUUAGUUUUGUUUGUUAACUAGAAACUGUGGUUUCCUUUUUUAACCGAAAUCACUAAAGCAUGGGAUGCAUUUGGGGUUUCCAGAUAGCUAAUAUUAGGAGCACACAAGAUUUAGACUCCUGCUAUGUAAUUAAAGGAAAUCAGAACAUUCACCAAUAUCUUCUGUAUAUUUUCUAGCCUUGGGUUCCUGACUUUUUCAUACAAAUUAUAAUUUGGAAACUUUAUUUAUAGGAAUGAUAAAUAGUAUGUACAAAUGCCUUUACUAAAAUUAAAUUUACUUUAGCCACAUGGAAGCCAACACAAUAUCACAUGUAAUAUUUCUCAGUUAGUCAAAAGUAUGCUUCUUUUAAAAUUUAUGGUUCUAAUAUUGUUUUUCUCACAUAAAUAUGUUCCAGUUAUAUAUGGUAAACUAAAACUGUCUAGCCUAUGCAGAAGCACGGGUUAAUGACUAGUCUAGCUAACUCGGGGAUAAAUUCAUUGAGCCAGAUGUAAAGUUGCCAAGGUAGUAACUAGUACACAUAGAACAUGAGGAAUAUAGGUUGCUCUUCUUUUAUUAAGUACGAAUUGAUCUUGAUGAAGUUUACUUCUUUUGCACUGUUCUAGAGAUGCAUGAGACACCUGUAACCUUUUUCCCUUGGUUUUGAAGCUACACGCACGAACUCGAUGUACGGUGACUCCAUGGAGCAAGUCGAGUUCGUGGAGCAAGUCAUGGACGAUGCCAUGGAAGGUAUACUCUCUCCCUCUCCCUACCGUGGUACUGCUCAUUGUGUCCACGACCAUUGAGCCAUGCUAGGUUCUAUGCUGCUGUCCAUGCCAAUUUAUAGCAUUUGGGGUGUAGGUUUCAGUGGAUUUAUUUAGCAAUAAAUAAUUCUGUUGGUUCACACAAAACAGUUUGACUGUAGGUGUACAGAAUUAGCAAUGGAUCUCUAGGCUGGUGAUGACUAUGUAAAUUUGUUUCAGUGGAUCUGGGGCUGUAGUUUUGUUCCAAAGCGUGGUGAGCACCUUUAGGUUUGUUUGUUUCCUGUUGGAUGACUGAAACCAACUAGAGCUAAAUGUUUUGGUUCAGUUUCAGAUGACUAAAACCGUUUUGGCUCAGUUUGCUAACUAAAUGGAGAAGAGAAAAGAAGUGGUACUGUCACUCACAAUUGCCCUUGAAUGCACAUCAGCACUUAGGCUACUCUCCAUAUAAUUUUAUUAAGCCAUGUUUUUCUGCAGGCUGUGUCAUAUAUUGUGGCGUCCUGAUUAGUCAUCAAUGACAACUAACACUCAUGCCGGUAUCUUUUCACAAUCAUAAUAGGGACGUAGCUCUUGCUAUAGUUGUAAGUUGUGAUCCUAAAUUUAAACAUGAUGAUGCUAAAAUGACAAAUGAAUUCUUGGUAGUGCAUGUCGAUAUGGCACUUGUGAAAACUGAAGAUUUGGUACGGAGUCGCGAAAGCUGCAAUACUCUCGAUAAUGCAGAAAAAAAAGAUUGCAUGGCCUUCAACCUUUGUACGUGCCUAAUAUCCUGCUGCCUCUAUCACUACAUUCAUCAUGUCAAUGCAUUGUGUAUUAACAGUUCAUUUUGUUAUUUUCUUUGUAGAUUCAAAAGAUAUAUGGAUGAUUAUAAUGGUGCGUGGCAAGUAUAUUGCAAUGACGAUGAUGUUCCGGUUCAUGAUGAUAAUGAUGUUCCGGUCCAUGAUGAUGAUGAUGGAUGCUAUCAGUUUUAGUUAAGUUGUAGGGAUGAUGUUUCUGUCGGAUGGUGUUCCCCGGUUAAGUUUAGUUAAGUUGUAGGGAUGUUGAAGGAUGCUUUCUAUUUAAGUUUCGCUGUCAAGAAAAUAUUUAGGUUAUGCAUCACAUUUCGAUGAUGUUUCCCUUGUAAUAUCAACCAUUGUAAUCCAACAGCUUUAUCCAAUAUAUGAUUUCUUUCUCUAAUGAGUAUAUUCUUUUAUUUUUUUU